GCGAUCCCAGGUCAGGCGGGGCUACCCGCUGAGUUUAAGCAUAUCAAUAAGCGGAGGAAAAGAAACUAACGAGGAUUCCCUUAGUAGCGGCGAGCGAACCGGGAGGAGCCCAGCGUGAAAAUCGUCCGUCAUCGGCGGCCGAAUUGUAGUCUGGAGAAGCGUCCUCAGUGACGGACCGGACCCAAGUUCACUGGAAGGUGGCGCCGGAGAGGGUGAGAGCCCCGUCGUGUCCGGACCCUGU
rnacentral:rRNA from 1 species